AAGAAAAAAAAUAGAGAAAAGCGGAUAAGGGGAGAGAGCUGCAGAUUUUGGAGAAAACCAAUAAUGCUCCGGUGGCCAUAUCUCUGGAAUCCACCAUUGGAUCAUGCUGAGUUUUGGAUAUGUUGUUCUCAUUACACUCCUCUACUAACUGACAGGAGCGAUUGGAAGGAACACAAUCCGCUUGACAGAAAUCAUCAUCUGGAAUUUCCUGGAAAACAAAAAGGAAAUGCACCUGCAGGGCAGUUUGGUCGCCGGCCAAUUUAUCUCUCUUACACCGUUGGAUCAUGCUCAGUUUUGGAUAUGUGGUGAACCUCGAUGUGACCUUCAUUCUGGACGGUGAAGAUCGGAAAAUAUUUCUCCGGUAAGUUUUCGUGCAUGUUGAACAGUAGCUCGUCCAUUUUCAGGGAAAGCUGUGGGGACUGGAUAAUUGCAUGGAGUGGCAACACGUGCACCUAUUCUAGAUAGGUCCAUCAGGGUCGCAUCAAGGGUAAUGCUAGUUUAGAUAUCUUUUGCUUUUGACUAUGUAAAUUAUAAAACUUGAGAUGUACUAUUAAUCCGUAAAUUUGAAUGUAUGUCUUUACUCUAA